GACGAACGCUGGCGGCGUGCUUAACACAUGCAAGUCGAACGAAGAGCGAUGGAAGCUUGCUUCUAUCAAUCUUAGUGGCGAACGGGUGAGUAACGCGUAAUCAACCUGCCCUUCAGAGGGGGACAACAGUUGGAAACGACUGCUAAUACCGCAUACGAUCUAAUCUCGGCAUCGAGGAUAGAUGAAAGGUGGCCUCUACAUGUAAGCUAUCACUGAAGGAGGGGAUUGCGUCUGAUUAGCUAGUUGGAGGGGUAACGGCCCACCAAGGCGAUGAUCAGUAGCCGGUCUGAGAGGAUGAACGGCCACAUUGGGACUGAGACACGGCCCAGACUCCUACGGGAGGCAGCAGUGGGGAAUCUUCCGCAAUGGACGAAAGUCUGACGGAGCAACGCCGCGUGAGCGAUGACGGCCUUCGGGUUGUAAAGCUCUGUUAAUCGGGACGAAAGGUCUUCUUGCGAAUAGUGAGAAGGAUUGACGGUACCGGAAGAGAAAGCCACGGCUAACUACGUG
rnacentral:rRNA from 1 species